rnacentral:rRNA from 1 species
UGGAUAACCGUGACAAAUUACAGCUAAUACAUGCAGUCAGACCUGGUCCAAGGGUCGUAAUUAUUAGUACUAAACUAUUUCCGCAAGGAUUGUGAUGAAUCAUAGUAAUCGAACGAAUCGCAGGUAUAUGCGAUAAAUCAUUCAAGUUUCUGCCCUAUCAGCUUUGGAUGGUAGUGUAUUGGACUACCAUGGCAGUCACGGGUAACGGAGAAUUAGGGUUCGAUUCCGGAGAGGGAGCCUGAGAAACGGCUACCACAUCUACGGAAGGCAGCAGGCGCGCAAAUUGCCCAAUCCUGACACGGGGAGGCAGUGACAAGAAAUAACAACUCUAGGUUUUCUUAGAAGUGUAAUGAGGAUAAUUUACAAACCUUACCGAAUGCAAUUGGAGGGCAAGUCUGGUGCCAGCAGCCGCGGUAAUUCCAGCUCCAAUAGCGUAUAUUAAAGUUGUUGCAGUUAAAAAGCUCGUAGUUGAAGUUCUGAUUGUUCAGGUCUUCAGUCAUUAGACGGGGAUUCUGACAGUCAUCCGCUUGCAAACAUAUGUUUGAUUUUAACCGAUCAGCUAUGUGAGUAAGCAUUUUACCUUGAGAAAAACAGAGUGUUCCAGGCAGGUUUGUCCGGAAUGCAUUAGCAUGGAAUAAUAGAACAUGACUGGAGUCUAUUUAUUGGUUUAAGGCUUUAGUAAUGAUUAAUAGGAACAGUCGGGGGCAUUCGUACUCAGCAGUCAGAGGUGAAAUUCUAAGAUUUGCUGAAGACGAACUAAUGCGAAAGCAUUUGCCAAGGAUGUUUUCAUUAAUCAAGAACGAAAGUUAGGGGAUCAAAGACGAUCAGAUACCGUCCUAGUCUUAACUAUAAACGAUACCGACUCGGAUUCAGAUGAAUCAUAAAGUUCAUUUGGGACCGUAGGAGAAAUCAAAGUCUUUGGGUUCUGGGGGGAGUAUGGUCGCAAGGCUGAAACUUAAAGGAAUUGACGGUUUUGCACCACCAUGGAGUGGAGUUUGCGGCUUAAUUUGACUCAACACUGGGAAACUCAUCAGGGCAAGAAGAUUUUAGGAUUGACAGAUUGAGAGUUCUUUCUUGAUUGGUCUAGUGGUGGUGCAUGGCCGUUCUUAGUUGGUGGAGUGAUUUGUCUGGUUAAUUCCGUUAACGAACGAGACCUUAACCUGCUAACUAGUGUUUCGAUUCAUAAUCGAAAGCACUUCUUAGAGGGACUAUGUGAUGUAAUCACAUGGAAGUUUGAGGCAAUAACAGGUCUGUGAUGCCCUUAGAUGUCCUGAGCUGCACGCGUACUACAAUGGCACUUUCAACGAGUUUUUCCUGAUCCGAAAGGAUUUGGGUAAUCUUUUUAGUGAGUGCCGUGCUUGGGAUUGAUCUUUGUAAUUGUGGAUCAUGAACUAGGAAUUCCUAGUAAGCGCGAGUCAUCAGCUCGUGCUGAUUACGUCCCUGCAAAAUGUACACACCGCCC